rnacentral:rRNA from 1 species
UACGUAGGGUGCAAGCGUUAAUCGGAAUUACUGGGCGUAAAGCGUGCGCAGGCGGUUUUGUAAGUCUGUCGUGAAAUCCCUGGGCUCAACCUAGGAAUUGCGAUGGAGACUGCAAGGCUAGAAUCUGGCAGAGGGGGGUAGAAUUCCACGUGUAGCAGUGAAAUGCGUAGAGAUGUGGAGGAACACCGAUGGCGAAGGCAGCCCCCUGGGUCAAGAUUGACGCUCAUGCACGAAAGGCGUGGGGAGCAAAC